UACGUAGGGGGCGAGCGUUGUCCGAAGUUACUGGGCGUAAAGCGCACGUAGGCGGGCUCUUAAGUCGGUGGUGAAAUCCUGGAGCUCAACUCCAGAACUGCCUCCGAUACUGAGAGUCUUCGAGUCCGGGAGAGGUGAGUGGAACUGCGAGUGUAGAGGUGAAAUUCGUAGAUAUUCGCAAGAACACCAGUGGCGAAGGCGGCUCACUGGCCCGGUACUGACGCUGAGGUGCGAAAGCGUGGGGAGCAAACAGG
rnacentral:rRNA from 1 species